GGAGUGGUAGCUUAGCGGUAAAGUACCUGCCUGUCACGUAGGUAGACGUGAGUUCAAAUCUCAUCCACUUCGCCA
rnacentral:tRNA from 1 species